rnacentral:rRNA from 1 species
UGGGGAAUUUUGCACAAUGGGGGAAACCCUGAUGCAGCGACGCCGCGUGAUUUAGAAGGCCUUCGGGUUGUAAAAAUCUUUUUUACGGGAUGAAAAUGACAGUACCGUAAGAAUAAGGUCCGGCUAAAUACGUGCCAGCAGCCGCGGUAAUACGUAUGGACCGAGCGUUGUCCGGAAUCAUUGGGCGUAAAGGGUACGUAGGCGGCCUAGUAAGUUAGAAGUGAAAUAAUAUAGCUCAAAUAUAUAAAGCUUUUAAAACUGCUAGGCUUGAGAGAUGGAAUGGACAGUGGAAUUCCUAGUGUAGCGGUGAAAUGCGAAGAUAUUAGGAAGAAUACCGGUAGCGAAGGAGACUUUCUGGUCAUCAUCUGACGCUGAGGUACGAAAGCGUGGGUAGCAAACAGG